UACAGAGGUGGCAAGCGUUGUUCGGAAUUACUGGGCGUAAAGGGCGCGUAGGCGGCCAUCUAAGUCAGACGUGAAAUCCCCCGGCUUAACCUGGGAACUGCGUCUGAUACUGGACGGCUUGAGUAUGGGAGAGGGAUGUAGAAUUCCAGGUGUAGCGGUGAAAUGCGUAGAUAUCUGGAGGAAUACCGGUGGCGAAGGCGGCAUCCUGGACCAUUACUGACGCUGAGGAGCGAAAGCGUGGGGAGCGAACAGG
rnacentral:rRNA from 1 species